AACGAACGCUGGCGGCAUGCCUAACACAUGCAAGUCGAACGAGACCUUCGGGGCUAGUGGCGCACGGGCGCGUAACGCGUGGGAACCUGCCCUUAGGUUCGGAAUAACUCCCCGAAAGGGGUGCUAAUACCGGAUAAUGUCUUCGGACCAAAGAUUUAUCGCCUUUGGAUGGGCCCGCGUUGGCUUAGCUAGUUGGUAGGGUAAAAGCCCACCAAGGCGACGAUCCAUAGCUGGUCUGAGAGGAUGACAAGCCACACUGAGACUGAGACACGACACAGACUCCUGCGCGAGGCAGCAGGGGGGAAUCAUGGACCAUGGCCGGGAGACUGUUGGGCCGACGCCGCGUGGAUGAUGCUGGCGUUGGGGUUGUACCGCCCCUUUACCCGCGCCGAUAAUGACAGUCCCAGCAGAGUAGCCACCGCCUCACUCCGUG
rnacentral:rRNA from 1 species